rnacentral:rRNA from 1 species
GCAACAUCGGUCCAANCCUUAAAGUCAUCCUCAGUUCGGACUGGGGUCUGCAACCCGACCCCACGAAGCUGGAUUCGCUAGUAAUCGCGCAUCAGCCAUGGCGCGGUGAAUACGUUCCCGGGCCUUGUACACACCGCCCGUCAAGCCAUGAAAGCCGGGGGCGCCUGAAGUCCGUGACCGCGAGGGUCGGCCUAGGGUGAAACCGGUGAUUGGGGCUAAGUCGUAACAAGGUAUC